rnacentral:rRNA from 1 species
UACGUAGGGUGCGAGCGUUGUCCGGAAUUACUGGGCGUAAAGAGCUCGUAGGUGGUUUGUCGCGUUGUUCGUGAAAACUCACAGCUUAACUGUGGGCGUGCGGGCGAUACGGGCAGACUGGAGUACUGCAGGGGAGACUGGAAUUCCUGGUGUAGCGGUGGAAUGCGCAGAUAUCAGGAGGAACACCGGUAGCGAAGGCGGGUCUCUGGGCAGUACUGACGCUGAGGAGCGAAAAGCGUGGGGAGCGAACAGG